CGGAGAAUCCACAAGCCCACGACCGGUCGAUACUGUGCAAAACCGGAAGCCAGAAAUUUCCUUUUAUAAGAAGACUUGUUUUUGUCAUCCAGAGAUAGACAGGUGCUUCUUAUCUCAGCAAAUGGAUAAAGGUUGAUAGGUGGCUAAAACUGUGCCACUGCUCCCUCAAGCCCUCUUCAUUGCCACCUGUUAACUUUACUUGAGUGCUACAACAGGUCCCAUGUUGGAGACAACGUCCAAGCUAUUGAAAAUGAUAGAAGAAUUUGGAGAAACAGCAGGAUUGAAAAUAAACAGAGGAAAAAAAUCAAAGGUCUUUUCUUUUCUUUACUAGGUAACUGCUGCUAUGUCUCCUGAUGAUAAAUAUAAUUAAUAGUCUAUACUGAUUUUCUAUUCUGUUUGAAUCCUGUAAGAUAAACCUUUGCAAUAAAGUAAG